AGCUUCCUCUGAAAAUUCCUCAAAAAUCGCCAAAUUCCGAGCUCCCAAGUCCAAAAAUGAAGAAUGAAAUCAAACCCUCGAAUUUCUCUUUUCUGCCCAAGCGUGACCGCACCUGCGACAUAAUUAGCCGCAUAUGCGCAACCGCAGGUGCGCAUUUCCAACUGCACCUACGCUUCCUCUCGCUUCUGCAUCCCAGAAUCCGCACAUGCGGAGCCUGCCAAGUCCAGCUCUUCUCGCACCUGCGCAUCCAUCUUCGCAUCUGCGGGCAUUGCAGAUGCAGAAUUUUCCACGCGCCUGCGAUCCCUGGCACUCCUCCACUUUUCCGCUUAUGCGCUUGCCUUUCCGUACGUGCGCUCCCACACCUGCGGUCUCUUCACUGCAGGUGCGAAAAUACCAGAAACCUGAAGACUUAGCAGCAACACAAAUCAAACUUUUAAUCCGUUAAGCACCCGAAACUCACCUGAAGCCCUCGGGACCUCAACCAAACAUACCAACCAAUCCUAAAAUACCAUACGAACUUAGUUGAGCCCUCAAAUCACAUCAACUAACGCUAAAAUUACGAAUCACCCUCCAAUUCAAACUUAAAGAACUUGAAACUUUAAAUUCCUACAACCGAUGCCGAAACCUAUCAGACCACGUCCGAAUGAUCUCAAAUUUUGCAGGCAAGUCCCAAAUAUCAUAACGGAGUUGUUCCAACUCUCGGAAUCGCAUUCCGACCCGAUAUAAAAAAAUCCACUUCCGGUCCAAAUCUCCAAAAAUUCGACUUUCACCAUUUCAAGCCUAAAUCAGCUACAGACCUCGGAUUUAUAGUCCGGACACGCUUCUAAGUCUAAAAUCACCCAACAGAGCUAAUAGAAUCGACGGAACUCCAUUCUGGAAUCGUCUUCACAUAGUUCCGACUACGGUCAAAAUCCUAAGACUUAAGCUUCCGUUUUAAGGACUAAGUGUCCCAAAUCACUUUGAAACAUCCGGUAAACGAAUUCAACCACGCACGCAAGUCAAUACACAUAAUAUGAAACUGCUCAGGGCCUUAUACCGCCGGACGGGACUUAAAUUCUCAAAACGACCUGCCAAGUCGUUAUAAGAAUAGAUCAAAAUAUGAUGUUGGCUUACUUGACAAUUUGACUACAAAGUCUCUUUUAGUAAAAAUAGCUUCGUGUUUAAAUAGUAUUUACCGAAUACUUGUCUCUUCUUAAUUUAAUCCACAUAACCCAUACAAACAAUUCACUUUUUUUUUUUUUUUGUUAUUUUAAUAGCCUAUUAGCUCCAUGUGAUACUCCACCAAGUAACAUUGAAACAUACAACUAGCAAACUGCGGAUGAUAAAUAAAUAUGAUCAAACACAACAUUAGCCUAAACUAGCAAAACUAAAUGGUGUAAAUAUAAUAUCAUUCCAUCGAGACACAAAGUUCCUAAAACAGACUAAGUGGAAGACUAAGCACAGUUAUAAAUAAAUAUUGGUGAGUUCUUAACUAAUAAACUUAAAAUCUAAAGAGGUAUUAAUAAAAAUAUACUACUAUUGUUUCACCUACAUGUUAUAAAGAUUAUAUUCAAUCAUUAAUUUAAACUAUUAGCGAGUAAUAUGUUCUGUGCUAAACUUUAUCAAUUCAACCUGGACAGAAUCUAAAAUAAGUUGCAAAGAAUAAAGGACAUGGAAAUAUAAUUUAUUAAAGAAACCAACUCUAGACCUUGAAUAUUAAAACUUCCAGGUGGAUUAUUAGAUUUGAAUUCUCUUGGUGAAUAUAUUAAAGACAGAGACAAAUGAUAAGAAAAACUUGGACAUUGCUUUGAAGCUUUAGGCGUAUGAAAUUCCUUAAAACAAAUCAAAAUCUCAUCUCACAAUUACAACGAUACAAAUUGAACAAAAUCAUUCCAUGAUUUUUUUAUAAAAAUCAAACAAAAGAUAAACUAAGAAUAAUAUGCCCAUACCAAGCUAAAAAAAAAUAAAAAAAUCACAUAAACAAUAAGAGAGGAAAAGAGAUGAACCUUAAAUAGCAAUCCAAAUCGGACGGAAGUGUGAACUUGAGCGGACCUCGAAUCGGCAAACAGAGCUUCGACUCAACACCUUGAACUUAAUUCAACUCCACGAGAGAAGAUCAAAAUCAGAAACUAAAGUGUAUUUUUUUUUUCCGGAUUUGAGGAGCAAAAAAUGAAAUUAAAAGGUACUAAAAUUGUAGGGAUUUUUUGAUUCAAUACUACUCUACUAUUGAAAUCUAAACCUUUUUUUUUUAAAGUUAAAAGAAUUUUUUUUUUGGAAAUUUUCCUCCAAAUAAUGAAGAACAACUCCUCUUUUUGAUGAAUU
rnacentral:lncRNA from 1 species